ACUGCAAGUUCUAAUCGGACAAAAAGGGAAUCGGAGUGGAUUAUAAUAACUCUCAACUAAAUCUCUAGGGUUUUAGCAACUCUCACCAGCCCUCCAUAUCCCUUCUCUCUCAACCAUGGACGCCACCGUCACCCCAUCCCCAAUCCCCGACCCUAACCCGAACGCUGCCCCAGCCGUCUCCUGUUAGAUCAACAUCGUGAAGAAGCAGCCGGACCCAAAGCCCCAAAACUCCUCCUACUCCUCCUCAAUUGCCGCCGGUAAAGUAUUCGUCGAAAGCUGUAAGUCCUCCAAGGGCAUAGCCGUCGCCGUUGUUGACUAUCAUUCAAGGCGGUGAGACCCUCGCCCACUGCACCGACAAGUUGGUCUCCGUCCCAGAGGUCAUGGACGAGGUCCGCGACCCUUUUUCCAGCCACCGCCUCGCCGUCAUUCCCUUCCAAGUUCAAACCAUGGAACCCUCCCCUGAAUCCCUCAAUAAUGUUGUUAAGUUUGCAAGGGCUACUGGGGAUUUACAGACACUGUCAGAUGUGGAUGUUAAGCUCAUUGCUAUGACUUAUACAUUGGAGGCUCAGAUACAUGGCACUGAGCACCUCAGGGACUGUCCUCCAUCGGUGCAUACUGUCAAUGUGAGGAGGUUGCUGGAGAAUGACUUGCCCGGGUGGGGAAAUAACGUGCCUAAUUUGGAAGAGUGGGAAGCGUCGGAGAACGAAGCGGAGGAUAAGUUGAACCCCAGUUCGAGGAUUCUUCCGCUGAAAGAUAUAAACUUGAAUGUACGUUAUUGAGGAUUUUGAGAGCCGUUCUGUUGAUGGUUCUGCAGUGGAAGUUAGGAGUGAUGUUCAUUUUGAGAAUAAGGAGGGUGGUGAAGGCAUUCAGGGGCGACAUUGGAGAUAUUUUCCAAAGAAGAAAGAGAUAAAGAUUGAAGGGAAGAUGGUUUCUGAUGGAAUUGAUGCAUCCCAAGGACAAGCUGAUAAUAAUGCCGGUGAUUGGAUGCCUGAGAUGAUUUCCUGGUGACCUGGUGUAAACCUGAUCAGGGUUAGCUUUAGUCUGCAUUCAUGGAAGAGAUCCCGGGAAGAUCUACUUUCAGAAGCCCGCUUAGGGAAAGAAUUAAUUGUAUCCCUGAAGAUCCAUUGGUGCAAGCUGUGGAUGAACUGUUCCUUCUCCUAUUCAUUUCAUGUUCAUUUAACAAUGACAUGUUCCGUGAUGCAAUGGAUCAAACUUUCUGGCUAGAGGUUCCCUAUGCUGUUAGUGACGAAAAAAUUUCGAAGAGAAUUUUGACUCACCAAUUAAUGCAGACUGGAGUUGAAGCUGACCAAGAA